AAAGGGGCAUUGAGGAAAAGACCCUCAGACAUGUCACAAUAUAAUUAUCGGUGGUUGGUUUGAUCUAGAUGUAUCAAUUAGCUUCUUUUUUUUGUUUAGCUACAAGUGUGUUUACCUUGCUAUGAUACAUCUGUGAAACGUGCCCAUUGUUGUGAAUUCACGUCUUUCUUCUUUUCGUGAUUCACAUGUUUCUGAUGGAAGUGCUAAGACAUGCACUGCGUGCAGCUUUAAAUAGAUGCACCGAGGAUCUGGCUGAUUACUGGAAAUUUGGAAGAUUGUUCUUUAUCUGCACUGUCACUUCUGGUAAAUAUUUAUGAAGAAGAAAUAUACUUUAUUAAUCCCCAAGGGGAAAUUAGUUCUCUGCAUUUAACCCAUCCUUAGUUAUUAAGGAGCAGUGGGCUGCAGUGAUGCGACCAGGAAGCAACUGGGGGUUCAGUGCCUUGCUCAAGGACACUUCGACUUGCAACUAAUGGGGAGAGCCGGGAUCGAACCGACAACCUUGGGGUUGCAGGACGGCCCCCUUACCCCACUGAGCUACAGCCGCCCACAAUUAUGGACCUCUUGUGUGUGGUCAACAGAUGAGACUGGAGUCUGACUUGUCUCCCGGCCAAGACGAUGAAUCUAAAUCUGAGGCUGCCUUCCAGGUACAUAUGCUCGCGCUCUGAAACAGUGCCAUUACUCCUGUGCCUCGGCUGCCUCUAAAUCACAGACCAUCAGCGAUUGGGAAAUCUACCACAGCGUGUUGUGAAUUUGACCCCUCUGUUCUACACUGGGAUUUACAACCUGCCGCUUGUGUGUCAUUCAGAAUGAUUCAUAAUGAGUCCCAGACUCCUGACUAUCAUACGAUAAUCAAUCGGACUCUCGACAGGUCACCAGACAAUAACACUUUAGACUCUGCAUCAUUCUCACUUACAGUUUUUCUCGAUUGAUUACACACAAAAACUGGAACUUAUAACACAAUGACCACAACCUGUAACUCAUGUGCCUACUCCCUAAACCAAUUCUGCUAAACUAUAAGCACAAUUAUCUGCUUUAGACACAGAUUUCAAUUGUUAACCACACUUUCUUCAAAACACUAAACACCAUCCUCUCUACUUUACACACUUCAUCAAUGUUUUUUGUUAUUAAAUGGAAUUUCAUCCUAGAAUUAUAACAUACUGAUACUGACAUUGUUCCUUGUAUUGUAUGUCGCCUACAUCCAAUACAUAUAUUAGAGUGGAUUCAAUUAUGGCUUAAAGUGAUCACGUGUGAAUUAAAGUGAUCGCGUUUUAAUUAAAAUGAUCAGAUGUGAAUUAAAGUGAUAACGUGUGAAUUAAAGUGAUCAGAUGUUAAUUAAAGUGAUAACGUGUGAA